rnacentral:tRNA from 1 species
GGGGUUGUGGUUCAGUGGUAGAGCGCUCACCUAGCACAUGUGAGACUGGGUUCGAUCCUCAGCACCACA